GGGGGUUUAGCUCAGUGGUUAGAGCAGCCGUCACGUGUUCGGAAGGUCGUUGGCUCGAUUCCAUCAACAUCGG
rfam:Pristionchus pacificus strain PS312 contig3398, whole genome shotgun sequence.